rnacentral:rRNA from 1 species
AGUGAACGCUGGCGGUAGGCCUAACACAUGCAAGUCGAACGGCAGCACAGUAAGAGCUUGCUCUUACGGGUGGCGAGUGGCGGACGGGUGAGGAAUACAUCGGAAUCUACUUUUUCGUGGGGGAUAACGUAGGGAAACUUACGCUAAUACCGCAUACGACCUACGGGUGAAAGCAGGGGAUCUUCGGACCUUGCGCGAUUGAAUGAGCCGAUGUCGGAUUAGCUAGUUGGCGGGGUAAAGGCCCACCAAGGCGACGAUCCGUAGCUGGUCUGAGAGGAUGAUCAGCCACACUGGAACUGAGACACGGUCCAGACUCCUACGGGAGGCAGCAGUGGGGAAUAUUGGACAAUGGGCGCAAGCCUGAUCCCGCCAUACCGCGUGGGUGAAGAAGGCCUUCGGGUUGUAAAGCCCUUUUGUUGGGAAAGAAAAGCAGCAGGUUAAUACCCCGCUGUUCUGACGGUACCCAAAGAAUAAACACCGGCUAACUUCGUG